rnacentral:rRNA from 1 species
UACGAAGGGGGCAAGCGUUGUUCGGAUUUACUGGGCGUAAAGGGCGCGCAGGCGGCUCUUCAAGUCAGAUGUGAAAGCCCCGGGCUCAACCUGGGAACUGCAUUUGAGACUGAAGAACUCGAGUUCGGGAGAGGAUGGCGGAAUUCCCAGUGUAGAGGUGAAAUUCGUAGAUAUUGGGAAGAACACCGGUGGCGAAGGCGGGUCUCUGGGCAGUAACUGACGCUGAGGAGCGAAAGCGUGGGGAGCGAACAGG